AUACCAUGGUGGGGACAUUUCCUCAAUUACUCCUUGAAGUGCUCCCAAGCAUCAUAUAAUGACUCGCCAUCCAUCUGAUAGAAAUUAUUAAUCUCCCCCCUUAAUUU